rnacentral:tRNA from 1 species
CAUUAGGUGGCUGAAAGAAAGUAAUGGUCUCUUAAACCAAUAUAUAGUAAUUAACGAAUACUUCUAAUG